GUGAACGCUGGCGGUAGGCCUAACCCAUGCAAGUCGAACGGCAGCACCGUAAGAGCUUGCUCUUACGGGUGGCGAGUGGCGGACGGGUGAGGAAUACAUCGGAAUCUACUUUUUCGUGGGGAUAACGUAGGGAAACUUACGCUAAUACCGCAUACGACCUACGGGUGAACGCAGGGGAUCUUCGGACCUUGCGCGAUUGAAUGAGCCGAUGUCGGAUUAGCUAGUUGGCGGGGUAAAGGCUCACCAAGGCGACGAUCCGUAGCUGGUCUGAGAGGAUGAUCAGCCACACUGGAACUGAGACACGGUCCAGACUGCUACGGGAGGCAGCAGUGGGGAAGAUUGGACAAUGGGCGCAAGCCUGAUCCAGCCAUACCGCGUGGGUGAAGAAGGCCUUCGGGUUGUAAAGCCCUUUUGUUGGGAAAGAAAAGCAGCAGGUUAAUACCCCGCUGUUCUGACGGUACCCAAAGAAUAAGCACCGGCUAACUUCGUG
rnacentral:rRNA from 1 species